GUCCAUCCUUCUCGUUAAUCAUAAUUUGUAUUUCUAAAUAUUUUUCAGACAAAUGCUACUUAAGUAGUAUUUUUGUUGUAAGAUACCUCUUGGUCAUAUAGCUCGUUAGCAGUUAUACAAAGUCAUGUGCAAGAUAUCUUUUUUUUUCUCCUUUUAUUUUUGUUUUCACUUUUUUUUAAUAUAAAUUCUAAGUCAAUACCGCUGCGUAUGGAC
rnacentral:lncRNA from 1 species